CUCCAGUCACGUCACGUGUACCCAUUCAGCUCUGCAUUGUUGAUCAUAAAUGUAAGUGCCUAUAUAUGAAGUUCAAAGCACUACAAAACCUGCCAAUGGCUAUAUUAAAAAUGAGAAUAAACUCGAUAGCUUUGUGGAAACCUAAUUACACAGCUCUGAAAAUGGCUUUCAAUAUCUGCAGCUUUAAACGAAAUUCAUUUAAUAGAUAGCUAUUAGAUUAUAGCCUAUUUUUUUUUUCUUAAAUUAGUCUCAGCUUUGUUUGCAAAACUCGCAAAACACUUGGACACCGCUAUAAGUCAGGCCGGAAUAAUCUAAGUAAUAAUUAAUUAAUUAAUAAAUAAAUAAAUAAAAACCUGAUAUUAGCAGCGCUCACAGGUUUCUAUGACAACAAUGUCACGCAGUAAAGCUUUAAAUCUCCAAAAAGACAUUAAUAAAAACUAAACAAAUGAUUUACAAGUUUAACAGUUUAUCAAGUAGGAAAUUAGUGCUCUUGAAAUACGAAAUGGAGGAGGGCCAGGACUUUGAGAAGCACUGUCCUAAAGAGACUUAGGUCUCUGCAGAGCAAAAGUGGGCGUAUAUCACCAUGUGGGUGUUUUGAAACUGCUGGGUGUUUCUGAAUCAUGCAAUCUAAAUGAUCAACCUUACCCAACCCCACCCCUAAACCUAACGUCACUAUUAGAUAAACCAAUCAAGUAUCAUGGUGUAAAAACACCUUGAUCUCGUAACUCCCAUUACUUUCCUGCAGAGACCUAUACUUUGGUCAUAAAGGCUGUGGUAGGGAAACACGAUGACGUUUGUUAGGGCGGAGUUCCCCACAUACAUUUUUUUUUCGCAUGCGAAACUCUACAUGCAGUAAACAGAUUAGUGUCUUACUGUAUAAGGUUUAGUUUUAAGCUCCCUACACAGGGUGCUUCAACGACGAGUGACGCCUUUCUUCGAAUAUGCUCUAAAAAAAAAAAAAAAAAAAAAAAAAACCUGGUACCACCAGAUAUCCAGUGGGCAAACUGAGGUCCUGUCACAACCAACAGGACACGCUUUAAGCAAAGCGGUAGAAGAGAAAUUUGGGCUAAUUUAUGAGGCUUUUUCUAAACCGUGCGUUGAUAGAAGAUAUAGGCUGCAUUUAACCACGGUGUGCUGCUAUAAUACGAAGAAGUCGAGCUUCCCCAAGGAAUACUUUCAUAGAAGUCAAGGAUCUACAAAUCUGAAUCGCACUCUUGGAAAAGAAUCUCCAAGAAAGACAUAAACUAAAAUCCGGACUGGAAUCCGUGAGUGGAGCGGAACAACAGAGAUUUCCACUGCUCCAAUUUGAAGGGCUCAUAACUAUUCCUUAAUCUAUUUGAAGGGUUUACCCUCCAAAGGUAGAGAUUCAAAUGGUGUAGAGGACCAAAAAACUGUUCCUUGGAACACACAUCCGCAUCGAUUUUCCAAUUAAGGAGGCGCUAUCAUCACACAGUUAAACCUAUGCAAAGAAUCAUGGUAUAGCGAGGUGUCCAUCUGUUGUACCAUUCGAAGUCCUUCUGGCCAUCGAAGAUGACCGUUUUGAGCAAUUAUAUUUGCAAUGGCCCUUCAGUAUGAUUGUUCUCACUUCAAAAUGCCCUUCAGAGAUAGAUUUAUUACAUUUGGAGUGCAACAUUCCACUCCGUGCGGACUAGCUCCAGCUCCAUUCCGAAAUUUCCAAUCCACCCACUCCAAAAACACUGACAGCAAUCCUGAAAAAAGGGGACAACUUUAAAAACUGGAGGCAAAAUUAGACAACAUGACAAUAUGUGUGUGAAUAAAAUACAAUAUGUUAACAGUGGACAGAAUGUUUAGUGCCACUACAUUUAUUUGAUGUACUGCUAAAAUACUUUAAAGAUGGUUGAUUGAUUGAUAUACAUGUAAUUUACUUACACAACUACUCUUUACAAUGUCAGUGGUUCAUGGUUUUGUUUUUUUCUUUGUGGUAUUGUGGUGUAUAGUUGAACUGUCACGUUAAAUAAUAAAGGUUCACAGACUCGGAUCGUGGAUUCCUUUCCGGAAGCUCCAUAUCAAAGACAGCAUUUCUAUUAUCAACUUCCUAAUAAUGUGCUUUGACAUUGCACCCAUUUUAUCAAGGACCAAGCCCUUCACCCUCAGUGAGAGUUUGUUAUCUCUGUCCUGCUGCACUGUGUGUUAGGGCCAUUUAAAUCUAAUAGGGAAGGGUUGUGAUCCGCAUACAGCUGAAGCUGAAGUCA
rnacentral:lncRNA from 1 species